GCCCAGGUGGUGAAAUUGGUAGACACACUACCUUGAGGUGGUAGCGCCGUUAAGGUGUGCUGGUUCAAAUCCAGUCCUGGGCA
rnacentral:tRNA from 1 species